rnacentral:rRNA from 1 species
AUGGGAUCAGGAUCAGGAUCAGGCGAGCAUUCCAGAGCUUACCAUGCAAGUGCAAUUGGAUCAUCUCAUAACACCAGUGUGAAAGGUUUCAGGGGUGUGGACUGCGAAGUUGGUUUCGUGGAAAAGCUACUGAACUGGGCACCAGCUCUGGAAGAAGUGAAGAUAGAAUGGAUGGGCAAAACAGAGUGCAGCAUGGUUCUUGCUAAGCUAUUAGCUCUGCCGAGGGUGUCUCCCAGGGCGAAGUGGUUUAAGCACCAUAUCAUUAUCCUUGUCCUUGUCCUUCUCCACAUUCUCCUGACAAGCCGCCUCGCCAUAUUUGUCGGCGUUGUUCCACACAAUGGAAUCAUCAGUUGCCUCAUCAUCUUCGUCAUCGCUCCACACAUUGCAAUCAUCAUUAGAUGCCUCCUCAUCCUCGUCAUCACUCCACACAUUGGAAUCGUCAUCACCCAUUCAAUGUUGAAUGAUGCGCUUGAUAUUGGUGACUACAGACAAACAAAAAUGAUGGGGCAGUUCACCUUGUUGGUCAUGAAGAUGGCAAGGCCAUCUGGAGUCGACCGCACGAUCACCUUACGAAUCUCAAACCACUCUCGGGCAUUUCCGAUGAUUGCGUCAAGCUCAGGGAGUGGCACGGUCGUUCUGAAGAUUACCGCACCUCUUGGCUUGGAGUCGACCCUCUAUCCACCACCGCCCGUCCAAUAUAUGCAUGAGAAUCCUACAACAGGGUGGCUUCUCCAAGAGGAACCCGGCGGUCCACCUAGCGGUUGCCCUCUCAAACCCACCAAAAAGACAAGGACAAAGGAGGAGGGCCCAGGGCGACCUGUUGGUGGUCCGGGGACCGUCAUGGACUCCAAGCCAAGAGGGCGGCUGGAGUUGAUCGCAUCUGCCUCAUCCAGGUGUCUUUUUCUACGGACCAGUUGGCUCACCCGCGAGUCGCAAACUAUAGGGCAGCUACCAAAGAAAAUCGGGUCUCUUGGAGCUAGCGACGCCAGCCACAGCCACUAG